rnacentral:rRNA from 1 species
UAGUCCACGCCGUAAACGAUGGUUACUAGCUGUUUGGUACGAUUAAGUACUGAGUGGCCAAGCGAAAGUGAUAAGUAACCCACCUGGGGAGUACGUUCGCAAGAAUGAAACUCAAAGGAAUUGACGGGGCCCGCACAAGCGGUGGAGCAUGUGGUUUAAUUCGAUGAUACGCGAGGAACCUUACCAGGGCUUAAAUGCAAGUUGACAGGUUUAGAAAUAGACUUUUCUUCGGACAAUUUGCAAGGUGCUGCAUGGUUGUCGUCAGCUCGUGCCGUGAGGUGUCAGGUUAAGUCCUAUAACGAGCGCAACCCCUGUCGCUAGUUACCAGCAUUCAGUUGGGGACUCUAGCGAGACUGCCGGUGAUAAACCGGAGGAAGGUGGGGAUGACGUCAAGUCCUCAUGGCCCUUAUGUCUGGGGGCUACACACGUGCUACAAUGGCGUUUACAG